ACUCCUACGGGAGGCAGCAGUGGGGAAUAUUGCACAAUGGGGGGAAAACCCUGAUGCAGCCAUGCCGCGUGUGUGAAGAGGCCUCGGGUUGUAAGCACUUUCAGUAGGGGAGGAAAGGUAGUGUAGUUAACACCCUGCAUUAUUUGACGUUACCUACAGAAGAAGCANNCGCUAACUCCGUGCUAGCAGCCGCGGUAAUACGGAGGGUGCGAGCGUUAAUCGGAAUUACUGGGCGUAAAGCGCAUGCAGGCGGCCCUGUUAAGUCAGAUGUGAAAGCCCCGGGGGCUUAACCUCGGAAUUGCAUUUGAAACUGGCAGGCUAGAGUCUUGUAGAGGGGGGUAGAAUUUCAGGUGUAGCGGUG
rnacentral:rRNA from 1 species